AGCGAACGCUGGCGGCAGGCUUAACACAUGCAAGUCGAGCGGGCAUCCUUGUGGUGUCAGCGGCAGACGGGUGAGUAACGCGUGGGAACGUGCCCUUCGGUUCGUAAUAACUCAGGGAAACUUGAGCUAAUACCGGAUACGUGCGAGAGCAGAAAGGUUUAUCUGCCGAAGGAUCGGCCCGCGUCUGAUUAGCUAGUUGGUGAGGUUAUGGCUCACCAAGGCGACGAUCAGUAGCUGGUCUGAGAGGAUGAUCAGCCACACUGGGACUGAGACACGGCCCAGACUCCUACGGGAGGCAGCAGUGGGGAAUAUUGGACAAUGGGGGCAACCCUGAUCCAGCCAUGCCGCGUGAGUGAUGACGGCCUUAGGGUUGUAAAGCUCUUUUCUUCGGGACGAUAAUGACGGUACCGGAGGAAUAAGCCCCGGCUAACUUCGUG
rnacentral:rRNA from 1 species